rnacentral:rRNA from 1 species
GAUGAACGCUGGCGGCGUGCCUAAUACAUGCAAGUCGAGCGAACGGACGAGAAGCUUACUUUCCUGAUGUUAGCGGCGGACGGGUGAGUAACACGUGGAUAACCUACCUAUAAGACUGGGUUAACCUCGGGAAUCCGGAUCUAAUACCGGAUAUUAUUUUGCAUCGCAUGGUUCAAAAGCGUAAGACGGUCUUGCUGUCACUUAUAGAUGGAUCUGCGCUGGAUUAGCUAGUUGGUAAGGUAACGGCUUACCAAGGCAACGAUGCAUAGCCGACCUGAGAGGGUGAUCGGACACACUGGAACUGAGACACGGUCCAGACUCCUACAGGAAGCAGCAGUAGGGAAUCUUACGCAAUGGACGAGAGCCUGACAGAGCAACGCCGCGUGAGUGAUGAAGGACUUCGGAUCGGAAAGCUCUGUUAUUAGGGAAGAUCAAAUGUGUAAGUAACUGUGAACAACUUGACGGUACCUGAUCAGAAAGCCACGGCUAACUACGUG